AACGAACGCUGGCGGCGUGCUUAACACAUGCAAGUCGAACGCGAAAGGAACUUCGGUCCUGAGUAAAGUGGCGCACGGGUGAGUAACGCGUGGAUAAUCUACCCAAUGAUCUGGAUAACAUCUCGAAAGGGGUGCUAAUACCGGAUAAGACCACGGGAUCUCUGGAUUCUGCGGUAAAAGGUGGGGACCUUCGGGCCUACCGUCAUCGGAUGAGUCAGAGUACCAUUAGCUAGUUGGUGGGGUAAUGGCCUACCAAGGCUACGAUGGUUAGCUGGUCUGAGAGGAUGAUCAGCCACACUGGAACUGAGACACGGUCCAGACUCCUACGGGAGGCAGCAGUGGGGAAUUUUGCGCAAUGGGGGAAACCCUGACGCAGCAACGCCGCGUGAGUGAUGAAGGCUUUCGGGUCGUAAAGCUCUGUCAGAGGGGAAGAAAUGCAGUUGUGCUAAUAUCAUGAUUGCUUGACGGUACCCUCAAAGGAAGCACCGGCUAACUCCGUGCCAGCCGCCGCAGUAAAAC
rnacentral:rRNA from 1 species